GACGAACGCUGGCGGCGUGCUUAACACAUGCAAGUCGAACGGAAAGGCCCUGCUUGCAAGGUGCUCGAGUGGCGAACGGGUGAGUAACACGUGGGUGAUCUGCCCCUUACUUUGGGAUAAGCCUGGGAAACUGGGUCUAGUACUGGAUAGGACCAUGCUGUAGGUGGUGUGGUGGAAAGAUUAGUUUCGGUAAGGGAUGAGCUCGCGGCCUAUCAGCUUGUUGGUGGGGUAAUGGCCUACCAAGGCGUAGACGGGUAGCCGGCCUGAGAGGGUGGACGGCCACAUUGGGACUGAGAGACGGCCCAGACUAGGACGGGAGGCAGAAGUGGGGAAUAUUGGACAAUGGGCGGAAGCGUGAUGCAGCGAGGCCGCGUGGGGGAUGACGGCCUUCGGGUGGUAAACUCCUUUCAGCAAUGACGAAGGCUUCGGGUGACGGUAGUGGUAGAAGAAGCACCGGCUAACUACGUG
rnacentral:rRNA from 1 species